GAUCAUGGCUCAGGAUGAACGCUAGCUACAGGCUUAACACAUGCAAGUCGAGGGGUAACAUGAUUGGAGCUUGCUCCGAUUGAUGACGACCGGCGCACGGGUGAGUAACGCGUAUCCAACCUGCCCCAUGAGUCAGGGAUAACCUUCCGAAAGGGAGCCUAAUACCUGAUGUUGUGCGAUGAUGGCAUCAGAGUUGCACCAAAGAGUUAUUGCUCAUGGAUGGGGAUGCGUAGGAUUAGGCAGUCGGCGGGGUAACGGCCCACCGAGCCGACGAUCCUUAGGGGUUCUGAGAGGAACGGUCCCCCACACUGGUACUGAGACACGGACCAGACUCCUACGGGAGGCAGCAGUGAGGAAUAUUGGUCAAUGGUCGGAAGACUGAACCAGCCAAAAGUAGCGUGCAGGAAGACCGGCCCGUACGGGUUAGUAAACUGUCUUUUAUGGCGGGGAAUAAAGUGGGGGACGCGUUCCCCUUUUGCAGGUACCGCAUGAAUAAGGACCGGCUAAUUCCGUGCCAGCCGCUGC
rnacentral:rRNA from 1 species